CACAGCAACCAUAUCAGCUCAUGCUGUUAUCUCAUCAGAUCUCAUAAAACAAAGCAGUGCCAGGACUUGUUAGUAUGUGGCAGAGAGACCUCCUAGAAAUACCUGCCUGCUGCAGGAU
ensembl:rRNA 5S_rRNA 5S ribosomal RNA